rnacentral:rRNA from 1 species
AGUGAACGCUGGCGGUAGGCCUAACACAUGCAAGUCGAACGGCAGCACAGUAAGAGCUUGCUCUUACGGGUGGCGAGUGGCGGACGGGUGAGGAAUACAUCGGAAUCUACUUUUUCGUGGGGGAUAACGUAGGGAAACUUACGCUAAUACCGCAUACGACCUACGGGUGAAAGCAGGGGAUCUUCGGAACUUGCGCGAUUGAAUGAGCCGAUGUCGGAUUAGCUAGUUGGCGGGGUAAAGGCCCACCAAGGCGACGAUCCGUAGCUGGUCUGAGAGGAUGAUCAGCCACACUGGAACUGAGACACGGUCCAGACUCCUACGGGAGGCAGCAGUGGGGAAUAUUGGACAAUGGGCGCAAGCCUGAUCCAGCCAUACCGCGUAGGUGAAGAAGGCCUUCGGGUUGUAAAGCCCUUUUGUUGGGAAAGAAAAGCAGCAGGUUAAUACCCCGCUGUUCUGACGGUACCCAAAGAAUAAGCACCGGCUAACUUCGUG